rnacentral:rRNA from 1 species
UCCUGGCUCAGGACGAACGCUGGCGGCGCGCUUAAACACAUGCAAGUCGAGGGGCAGCAUUUCGCUAGCAAAUAGGUUGAAGAUGGCGACCGGCGCACGGGUGAGUAACACGUAUCCAACCUGCCGAUAACUCGGGGAUAGCCUUUCGAAAGAAAGAUUAAUAUCCGAUGGUAUNUUAAAACCGCAUGGUUUUACUAUUAAAGAAUUUCGGUUAUCGAUGGGGAUGCGUUCCAUUAGUUUGUUGGCGGGGUAACGGCCCACCAAGACUACGAUGGAUAGGGGUUCUGAGAGGAAGGUCCCCCACAUUGGAACUGAGACACGGUCCAAACUCCUACGGGAGGCAGCAGUGAGGAAUAUUGGUCAAUGGGCGAGAGCCUGAACCAGCCAAGUAGCGUGAGGGAUGAAGGCUCUAUGGGUCGUAAACCUCUUUUAUAUGGGAAUAAAGUUUUCCACGUGUGGAAUUUUGUAUGUACCAUAUGAAUAAGGAUCGGCUAACUCCGUG